rnacentral:rRNA from 1 species
GAUAAACGCUGGCGGCGUGCUUCAGGCAUGCAAGUCGAACGCCCCGAUUUAUCGGGGAGUGGCGGACGGGUGAGUAACGCGUUAGUAACCUGCCCAAAAGUGGGGAAUAACUUGCCGAAAGGCGAGCUAAUACCGCAUGUGAUGGCCUUUUCUACGGAGGGGUCAUGAAAGGCUUCGGUCGCUUUUGGAGGGGCUUGCGUUCGAUUAGUUAGUUGGUGGGGUAAUGGCCUACCAAGACUGCGAUCGAUAGCUGGUCUGAGAGGAUGGUCAGCCACACGGGGACUGAGAUACGGCCCCGACACCUACGGGUGGCUG